rnacentral:lncRNA from 1 species
CCUGGUCUCCCUAUGUUUUCCAGGCUGUUCUUGAACUCCUGGACUCAGCAAUCCCCCCUCCUCAGCCUCCCAAAGUGCUGGGACUACAGGCAUGAGCCACCACACCCGGCCAAAAAAAUUAAAGAAUAUCUAGUAGGACAAAGCUACAUAAACAGCAACUAUUCUGCAAUACAUUUUAUACUGUCACCUUAAGAAUGUACUGUGGGGGCUGCAGCAAUUAACAAGGUGGAAUUGGAGAAGGCUUUGCACGGCAGAUGCUACUUGUGUUGGCCUUUGAUGGAGCAAUAAGACUUUAUAGGUGCAGAAGAUGAUGAAGGACAUUCCAGGACAAACAAGAUACUACAGAUACAAAGGCACCGAGGUACGGAAGUGAACUGUCUGUGGGUGACUUGCCUGGAUGCCGGCUAUAGCUGCAGCCCCCAAAGUCGAAGCUACCAGAACAGGUUGGAUGAGGAUGGCCCAAAGAUUAUGGAGUUGCUGGCCCCAAAGCAAGUCAGACACUAUGGGAAGUUUGCAUGAAUCAUGCCCUUGGAUAGACAACCUAAAUCAUACCUCAUCGAGCAUGGAUCCUGGUCAGCAUACCAAGUCAAGGCAAGUAAAGACUGAAGAAAUAUCACCUGGUCUGCAGCUCCCCCCAGAACGAAGUCUGCUACUGAUGGCAGAAGCAUAGAUAGACCAAGGGUAUCACUAUGUAAUGAUGGAAGAAGGAAAAACCCCAUGCAUUCACUCAUGUCUUGAAUCACCUAGAGAAGAGAGGGAAUCUGCCAAAGUGGACACAAUAGAAAUUCAGUUCUAAAUUUGGAGGAAAUGAGGCCCACUCUCAGAUAAGAUGAAAAGUAAAAGCCCUAGGAUCCAAUGGGGUAUUAAACAAAUAUUUAAAAGUAGAGAGGUGGUGACCAGUUAUUUCCUGAUAUAUAGAAUACCAUGGGUCCAUAAAGAAUUUUUUAGAGUAUCAAUAUUAUUAACACUUUGAAGAAGACAUAUGAAAAACUGAUUAAAUUAUAAAUUAGGAAAUCAUAGAUCAUUACUAUUUGUAGCCUCUCUACUCCCCUCUGAUUACAGAACUUUAGGCAGUUUGUCUGGAUUGGUGAUUGCUGGAUAAAAGCUCAAGAAAAGAAAGUAGCCAUCAAGAUACUUCUCUUGGGAGGCCGAGGCGGGCAGAUCACUUGAGGUCAGGAGUUUGAGACCAGCCUGGCCAACAUGGUGAAACCCCAUCUCUGCCAAAAAAUACCAAAAACAUUAGCUAGCCAUGGUGGCGCAUGCCUGAAGUCCCAGCUGCUCAGGAGGCUGAGGCACAAGAAUCACUUGAACCCAGGAAGUAGAGGUUGCAGUGAGCAGAGAUUGUGCCACUGAACUCCAGCCUGUGUGACAGAAUGAGACUCCGUCUCCAAAACAACAACAACAAAAUACUUACCUUGCAUUCACAGAUUUUAUGAAGAAAAGUUUGGUAUUGUUAGAUUAGAUGUACAAGCUAUGUUCCCAUAUGGGAUUUUAGAAUCAGGAAAUCUGGAUUCUUUUCCCAGCUCUGCCACUUACCAGCUAUAUAAUUUGGGGCAAGAUACUCUCUCCGAUCCUCAGUUUCCUCAUCACUAAAAGGAGAGGAAAAAGAUUUCUUCUUUCAUUCUAAAAUUCCACCACUAGAAAUUUUAGGAAUUAAUCAUGAAUAUACACAAGAGUUAUCAUAAUAUUAUUUAUAUCAGCAAAACAUUCAAGGGAACACCCAAAUAUUAGCAGUAGAGGAUGGCAAAUAAAGCAUGAUAUGUUUACCAAAUGGAAGGCGCUACCAUCAUUAAAAUAAAGAAAAAUAAAUCAGAGACAAUGAUGUUCCAGCUGCAUUAUGAGAAACAAAAAAAUUCAAAGUCCCAAAGCAUAGUAUAUCAUUUUGUCAAAAAAGGAAAAAAAAAUGUAUAGAAAAAAGACAAAAAAUACAUACACCAAAUUAAUGAGAGUGAUUAUGUUUGGGUGGAGGAAUUAUGACUGAUUUUUCUUUGUCUAUGUUUUCUAAAAUUUCUAUAAAACACCUGUACAAAUAAAAUUAUAAUAAUAAGAAAGAAAAGUUAAUAUUAAAUAACUAUUCCACAAGGUUACUGUGAAGAUAAAAUGAAAUAAAGCAAGGCAAUGUUGACCUAAUAUUAGUUUUUAAUAUUGCAAACAUCUCUCUGUGACUGUUAGGAGACCCAGUUUCCUAUGGCAAGUACUAAUUGCAUUAUCCUUUCUAGAGAACCCUAUGUGAAGUCUGAAGUGAAAGUGUGAUAGCAUAGCUGGCUACUUUCAGGAGUGCCCUAUGGUGAUGG